rnacentral:rRNA from 1 species
CCUACGGGAGGCAGCAGUGGGGAAUAUUGGACAAUGGGCGAAAGCCUGAUCCAGCAACGCCGCGUGAGGGAUGACGGCCUUCGGGUUGUAAACCUCUUUCAGCAGGGACGAAGCGCAAGUGACGGUACCUGCAGAAGAAGCACCGGCCAACUACGUGCCAGCAGCCGCGGUAAUACGUAGGGUGCGAGCGUUGUCCGGAAUUAUUGGGCGUAAAGGGCUCGUAGGCGGUUUGUCACGUCGGGAGUGAAAACUCGGGGCUUAACCCCGAGCCUGCUUCCGAUACGGGCUGACUAGAGGUAUGCAGGGGAGAACGGAAUUCCUGGUGUAGCGGUGAAAUGCGCAGAUAUCAGGAGGAACACCGGUGGCGAAGGCGGUUCUCUGGGCAUUACCUGACGCUGAGGAGCGAAAGUGUGGGGAGCGAACAGGAUUAGAUACCCUGGUAGUCCACACCGUAAACGUUGGGCGCUAGGUGUGGGGCUCAUUCCACGAGUUCCGUGCCGCAGCUAACGCAUUAAGCGCCCGCCUGGGGAGUACGGCCGCAAGGCUAAAACUCAAAGAUAGUGCGNGNGAGACGCGACGACGACGACGACGGAGGAG